rnacentral:rRNA from 1 species
UGGGGAAUCUUGGACAAUGGGCGCAAGCCUGAUCCAGCCAUGCCGCGUGGAUGAUGAAGGCCUUAGGGUUGUAAAAUCCUUUUCGUGGGGGACGAUAAUGACGGUACCCCAAGAAGAAGCUCCGGCUAACUUCGUGCCAGCAGCCGCGGUAAUACGAAGGGGGCUAGCGUUGUUCGGAUUUACUGGGCGUAAAGCGCGUGUAGGCGGGUCGUUAAGUUGGGGGUGAAAUCCCGAGGCUCAACCUCGGAACUGCCUUCAAAACUGGCGACCUGGACUCAAGCAGAGGCAAGUGGAAUUGCGAGUGUAGAGGUGAAAUUCGUAGAUAUUCGCAGGAACACCAGUGGCGAAGGCGACUUGCUGGGCUUGUAGUGACGCUGAGACGCGAAAGCGUGGGGAGCAAACAGGAUUAGAUACCCCCGUAGUCCCUGAGCGGGCUGGCAAGGCGCAU